rnacentral:rRNA from 1 species
UACGGAGGGUGCGAGCGUUGUCCGGAAUCAUUGGCGUAAAGGGCGCGUAGGUGGCCCGGUCAGUUCGUGGUGAAAGCGCGGGGCUCAACCCUGCGUCGGCCAUGAAUACUGCCGCGGCUGGAGCACUGUAGAGGCAGGCGGAAUUCCGGGUGUAGCGGUGGAGUGCGUAGAGAUCCGGAAGAACACCGGUGGCGAAGGCGGUUCUAGCUGGGCCUGA